GCCUCGGUGGCGUAGUGGUCAAGACGCUCGCCUGGGAAUCAGGAGGGCGUGGGUUCGAUCCCAGCCGAGGUA
rfam:Asian citrus Psyllid, Diaphorina citri - Florida Strain, whole genome shotgun sequence.